rnacentral:lncRNA from 1 species
CCGGGCUCCCGCACGCAGGCUGGUCUUCCACGCGCAGCUGGCGCACGGUAGUGCCACGGGCCGAGUGGAGGGCUUCUCCAGCAUCCAGGAGCUCUACGCCCAGAUCGCGGGCGCGUUUGAAAUCUCGCCGUCGGAGAUCUUAUAUUGCACUUUAAACACACCUAAAAUUGACAUGGAAAGACUCUUAGGAGGACAACUAGGACUAGAAGAUUUCAUAUUUGCCCAUGUGAAAGGAAUCGAAAAAGAAGUGAAUGUGUAUAAAUCUGAGGAUUCACUUGGUCUCACCAUUACAGAUAAUGGUGUUGGCUAUGCUUUUAUAAAGAUUCUUAUCUGCUGCCUCUGAUAGUGAAAUGUGCUGUGACUUUUCUCUUGCUACCUGGAUUCUCACCCUGCUGUCUGCUCUGACUUCCGGUGACUGCCUUUCUUCCCUCUGGGCACUCUUCUGGUUGCUGAGGCAUCUCUAGGAUUACUGAAGUGACUCAUGGGCCUCUGCAACCCUAGAUUUCUGUUACUCUGACCUUUAAUUCCCUGGUGAGAUUCAGGUGUGUCUUCAAAGUCUUUAACUUUUAUAUAAUGCUUAUUUUAAAUAAAAUUGUAACUCUAAAUCUUAAGCUAAAAAUACUGUGUGGUGAGACUCUGAAAUUUGUAUGGUGUAGUUGACCAAAUAAAAAAAUAAAUUCAAGAUGUAU